UUGGGAUAGAGCAGAGGGUAGA
rnacentral:miRNA from 1 species